rnacentral:tRNA from 1 species
GGUUGUGGCUCAGAGGUAGAGCUCUUGCCUAGCACUUGGGAAGCCCCGAGUUCGAUCCUCAGCACCA